GUUAUGCCGGUUGUGCGUCAUUCUAAGCCGUUCUGUACAUUUAUACUGGAUAUUAAUUGGAGUCAUUUAGCUGUGCUGAUGCUGUUUGCCGUGUGUUUUGCAUCAGUGCUUCGUGACAUCGGCUGUAUUGUGUGUUUUCGCCGACGGCUUACUACCACAAUGGCGGGAUCUGCGUUCGCCGCCUUCGUGUCUCGGUGCGUCUUUGUACGUCGCACGUUCGGAUAACACUAUUUCCGACGGCUGGACAUCCUUCUUGUACCUUGGCGCUAGCUGGAUGACGGGACCUCAUCAUGAUCAGUGUAUUGCUUGCCUAUGUCUACAAGAACCAUCACGCGUGGCCUGCAACAGCAAGCUUUUGUGGGCAGCAAGUGCUCUCCUACGAAGGCUGGCCUACUCUGGCAGCGGCGGCAAUCAUCUUCAAGAUUUAUCCAUAAUCACCUUUGCUGCUAUUUGUCACUCUUGUUGAUUACACUUUCUGCGUCUUUUCUAAUUUAUUAGGUAAUAAAGUAUGACUAUGUGACAUGGUGUGAAGUUGAUGUCUUGCUGUAUUUUCGCUUGCAAUCAUCUUUUAUGCAUGAAAAGCUCAUCGUACAGUUUAUAAAAAAAAAUAACAGCAUAUUAUGAUUUAUAUUUCAGUUCUGGUAACAUGCAACGUACAAGGAAUUCACUAAUGGAUGAUAUGCCGAAGAACUGGCCAUUAUUUCUGCGUGAUGCUGUGCAAGCAUGUGGCGUUACUUACAAGAGGCACCCACAAAGUAAGUUACAAUUUACUUUUAAAUGAAGCAUGGACAUCAGAAAAAAUAUAUUUAUAUUGCUAGUUAGAGUGGUUCGCAGAGUGUUUUUCCAGAUGUGUACUAUCCUUUAUUUCUUAACUCAUUGCAGCACAGUGUUCUGUUUCGUAUACUGGUGUAAUGCUAUUGUGCCCCCUGUAGCUGAAACCAGGAUGUAAUUUUUGCCUGAACUGCAGCAUCACUGACAAUUUUUCUUUGCUAGAAGCUAUUUCAAUUUGGUGGAGACCCAGCAGGGCGAAGUUUUGUCAAUAAUGACGUGUUUCACGCAGAGAUGCUCUUGUUUAGGUCAAUGGGUGAACAUUGGAAUGAUAUCAUCAUACAAUACAGAUCUUGUUUUAUUUGCAAAAUAAUUCUGACAAGCGGCAUUCAAUUGGUUGGUCUAAUUAAAAAGCACUAAUUGACCAAUGAGGUCGUACUACACUAUUCCCAUGGUUCACAUCUGGAAAAACUACCUGUGCAUCACUCUAUCCGACAAUAUAAGCUUUCUUUUUCUGAUGUCCAUGCCUCGUUUAAAAUAAAUUGUAACUGUGGGCAAACGUCGUGUUACUGUAACAGCUGCCGCAAAAAUUUGAGGGAAUGUCUAACAAAAGUCUUCAGUUGUUCUCGUCAAGCUGUCCAUUAGCCAACUUUUAGCGUAACGUUAGCAGGGCUUACUGAAGUACUUCUAGACGUCCAUGGCUACAAAAUGUCUUGAUCAAGACAGCUA